rnacentral:rRNA from 1 species
GAUGAACGCUGGCGGCGUGCCUAAUACAUGCAAGUCGAGCGAACGGACGAGAAGCUUGCUUUUCUGAUGUUAGCGGCGGACGGGUGAGUAACACGUGGAUAACCUACCUAUAAGACUGGGAUAACUUCGGGAAACCGGAGCUAAUACCGGAUAAUAUUUUGAACCGCAUGGUUCAAAAGUGAAAGACGGUCUUGCUGUCACUUAUAGAUGGAUCCGCGCUGCAUUAGCUAGUUGGUAAGGUAACGGCUUACCAAGGCAACGAUGCAUAGCCGACCUGAGAGGGUGAUCGGCCACACUGGAACUGAGACACGGUCCAGACUCCUACGGGAGGCAGCAGUAGGGAACCUUCCGCAAUGGGCGAAAGCCUGACGGAGCAACGCCGCGUGAGUGAUGAAGGUCUUCGGAUCGUAAAACUCUGUUAUUAGGGAAGAACAUAUGUGUAAGUAACUGUGCACAUCUUGACGGUACCUAAUCAGAAAGCCACGGCUAACUACGUG